rnacentral:rRNA from 1 species
AGGACGAACGCUGGCGGCGCGCCUAACACAUGCAAGUCGAGCGAGAACCAGGGCUUGCCCUGGGGAAAGCGGCGAACGGGUGCGUAACACGUGAGCAACCUGCCCCAAAGACCGGGACAACCCGAGGAAACUCGGACUAAUACCGGAUGCCCUCACCGGGCCGCAUGGUCUGGUGAGGAAAUGGAUUCCGCUUUGGGAUGGGCUCGCGGUCUAUCAGCUUGUUGGUGGGGUAACGGCCUACCAAGGCGACGACGGAUAGCUGGUCUGAGAGGACGAUCAGCCACACUGGGACUGAGACACGGCCCAGACUCCUACGGGAGGCAGCAGUGGGGAAUCUUGCGCAAUGGGGGAAACCCUGACGCAGCGACGCCGCGUGCGGGAUGAAGGCCUUCGGGUUGUAAACCGCUUUCAGCAGGGACGAAAUUGACGGUACCUGCAGAGAAGGCCCGGCCAACUACGCGCCAGCAGCCGC